UACGGAGGGGGCUAGCGUUGUUCGGAAUUACUGGGCGUAAAGCGCGCGUAGGCGGACCUGCAAGUCGGGGGUGAAAGCCCGAGGCUCAACCUCGGAACUGCCUUCGAUACUGCGGGUCUCGAGUCCGGGAGAGGUGAGUGGAAUUCCUAGUGUAGAGGUGAAAUUCGUAGAUAUUAGGAAGAACACCAGUGGCGAAAGCGGCGCACUGGACCACAACUGACGCUGAGGCGCGAAAGCUAGGGGAGCAACAGG
rnacentral:rRNA from 1 species